rnacentral:lncRNA from 1 species
UUAGACUUUUUCAUGGUUAUCAAUCUGUACAAAGAAUCACCAAACUGAUAAAGCAGGAACCAGAGGGCAAAUCACGCUGCCAAGACAACUGUGUAAUUCGCUCGAAAAAGAAACGGUCUGGCAGAAGGAACAGUAUCAACUGACUGAGUAGGUCUCAUUGGCAGUUGUGAUUCAGAGACCUAGAAAGCUGAACCCACGGCUGGCAAGAAGAGGAUGGUUUGUGGGACCUGGGCUGAUGUCUGAUGAAAUUUUAAGCCCCAGCUAUAGCUACUACAAAGAAAAGUGGCUGAUGAUAAGCAUGUAACUCAAAACAGAGUUUUGCCAUGUUGCCCAGGCUGGUCCCAAACUCCUGAGCUGAGGUGACCCUCCCGCCUCCACCUCCCAGAGUGCUGGGAUUACAGAAGACAAUGUAUAUAAAAAUAUGCAAGAAUCACAGGAAACCCACAUAUCCAACCACCUAGAUGAAGUUGUUGCUGCUGUUAGCAUCACUCAUAGAAAGAAGUUCCAAAACAAGCUGCUUCAGACAGCACUAUUCCAGCCUCCUCGAGAGAAACUCCACCUCUGUGAAGAGAAAGCAAAGU